rnacentral:antisense_RNA from 1 species
GCCUAUGGCGGGCGGUGCGUGGGGGCUUUCGGGCCCGCCGGUCUAUGACGCUACUUCAUCCCGGUUUGGAACCCGCACCGUCCGCCACCCCG